GUUGCUAGGAUACGUGGAGCGGGCGGUGUGUGGGCAGCUGCAGGCAGCGCUGUGGAGAUGGUGCCGCGGGCUCGGACUGCCCGGUGAGGUGGAGGUGGGAGCGGCAGGGCCCCGGGCCCGGACCCGGACCAGGCCGGAUAAUCCGCGCACCCAGUCAGCCUGGGUCCGGAGAGGGCCUGCCCCGGCCUGCCGAGUUAGAUGGUGUUGGAGCUGAAUGUCCCGGAGAGUGCGU